AUUGAACGCUGGCGGCAGGCCUAACACAUGCAAGUCGAGCGAGCGGCGGACGGGUGAGUAAUGUAUGGGGACUGCCCGAUAGCGGGGGAUAACUACUGGAAACGGUGGCUAAUACCGCAUACUAUCGGAUAACCCAUAUGGGAUUCGCUAGUAGGUGGGGUAAAGGCUCACCUAGGCGACGAUCUCUAGCUGGUCUGCGAGGAUGAUCGGCCACACUGGGACUGAGACACGGCCCAGACUCCUACGGAGGCAGCAGUGGGGAAUAUUGCACAAUGGGCGAAAGCCUGACGGAGCAACGCCGCGUGGAUGAUGAAGGCCUUAGGGUUGUAAAGUACUUUCAGCGGGGAGGCGGUACCCGCAGAAGAAGCACCGGCUAACUACGUGCCAGCAGCCGCGGUAAUUC
rnacentral:rRNA from 1 species